CCUACGGGGGGCUGCAGUGAGGAAUAUUGGUCAAUGGACGAGAGUCUGAACCAGCCAAGUAGCGUGAAGGAUGACUGCCCUAUGGGUUGUAAACUUCUUUUAUAUGGGAAUAAAAUGUUCCACGUGUGGGAUUUUGUAUGUACCAUAUGAAUAAGGAUCGGCUAACUCCGUGCCAGCAGCCGCGGUAAUACGGAGGAUCCGAGCGUUAUCCGGAUUUAUUGGGUUUAAAGGGAGCGUAGGUGGAUUGUUAAGUCAGUUGUGAAAGUUUGCGGCUCAACCGUAAAAUUGCAGUUGAAACUGGCAGUCUUGAGUACAGUAGAGGUGGGCGGAAUUCGUGGUGUAGCGGUGAAAUGCUUAGAUAUCACGAAGAACUCCGAUUGCGAAGGCAGUUCACUGGACUGCAACUGACACUGAGGCUCGAAAGUGUGGUUAUCAAACAGGAUUAGAUACCCGUGUAGUC
rnacentral:rRNA from 1 species